rnacentral:rRNA from 1 species
GGGGAAUUUUGGACAAUGGGCGAAAGCCUGAUCCAGCAAUGCCGCGUGUGUGAAGAAGGCCUUCGGGUUGUAAAGCACUUUUGUCCGGAAAGAAAUCCUCUGGGUUAAUACCUCGGGGGGAUGACGGUACCGGAAGAAUAAGCACCGGUUAACUACGUGCCAGCAGCCGCGGUAAUACGUAGGGUGCAAGCGUUAAUCGGAAUUACUGGGCGUAAAGCGUGCGCAGGCGGUUUUGUAAGACGGAUGUGAAAUCCCUGGGCUCAACCUGGGAAUGGCGAUGGAAACUGGGCGACUAGAGUGUGGCAGAGGGUAGUGGAAUUCCUGGUGUAGCAGCGUAAUGCGUAGAGAUCAGGAGGAACAUCCGUGGCGAAGGCGACUGCCUGGGCCAACACUGACACUGAGGCACGAAAGCGUGGGGAGCAAACA